GGCCUGUGGGACCAACCCGCUCCGUGACCGCAUCAAUCCCUUCCUAAGGGGAAAAGGCUGCCAUCAUCUCCGCCCAGGCCCAGCUCACAGAAAGCCACCUCUCAGUCCUGCUGUGUGGGGACCACAGGGAGCCGUGGGAGGUGAACUCCAGCCAGCCACACCCCGCACCAUCUUUACAGAUGAGGACACAGUGUCCUUCUACGAAACCCCUGAGUUUCAGCCUGCGUGGUACCAUUUUGGCUCAUGUGGGCACAGCUGUUUCAAGGCCGUACUUAUUUCUGGUCAGAAGAAAUGUGUCACAGUUAGACAGCGGCAGAGCCAUCGUGGGUGUCCCCAGCACAAUUCAUCCUCCACAAAUCCCCUGCCCCAGGCUCGUUGCUGCUCGGUAGCUUGAUCUCCACCCGGACCUGCUCCGUGUUUCCAAAUUAUUUCCAAAUAUCACUGUUCAGCACGGUUGUUGUCUACUGGGAAGAGACCUCGUAAAGGGCGAGGCUGCUGUCCACAAAAACCUGGGAUUUCCCAGAGAGGAGGCCACAUGGCCCUGGGCCAGCCCAAACAGUGUCCGGCAUUCCUGAAGUCGUCUGUCCGGCAGUGGAAGUUCCUUCUCCCAUGCCAUUUCUGCCUUGGAGCCUGAGACCAUGGACUGCAUCUUCUGAAAUGUGAUGAAGGCUUAAGAAUCCCAGUCAUCAGAAAAGAAAGCUUAAUCCAAAGAGCUUCCUACAAUGUGAGACAAAAGGAGAGAGUCCAGGAGACCAUGGAGAGGGCUGCAGGACAAGGGUUGACUCUCACGAGGACCUAAGUACUAAAGGGCGUUACCAGAGCCUCACUCUGCGGGGCUCAGAUUGACAAUGAUUAAAUACGCCUUGCCUGUUCUUAUAGGAAUCAA